rnacentral:rRNA from 1 species
UUUCCGGUUGAUCCUGCCGGACCUGACUGCUAUCGGAUUGGUACUAAGCCAUGCGAGUCAUUGUAGCAAUACAAGGCGGACGGCUCAGUAACACGUAGUCAACCUAACUCGUGGACGCGGAUAACCUCGGGAAACUGAGAAUAAACCGCGAUAGAUCAUUAUGCCUGGAAUGGCUUAUGGUCUAAACAGUUUACUGCCAUGGGAUGGGACUGCGGCCUAUCAGCUUGUUGGUGAGGUAAUGGCCCACCAAGGCUAUAACAGGUACGGGCUCUGAGAGGAGAAGCCCGGAGAUGGGCACUGAGACAAGGGCCCAGGCCCUAUGGGGCGCAGCAGGCGCGAAACCUCUGCAAUAGGCGAAAGCCUGACAGGGUUACUCUGAGUGAUUUCCGCUAAGGGGAUCUUUCGGCACCUCUAAAAAUGGUGCAGAAUAAGGGGUGGGCAAGUCUGGUGUCAGCCGCCGCGGUAAUACCAGCACCCCGAGUGGUCGGGACGAUUAUUGGGCCUAAGCAUCCGAAGCCGGUACUGCAAGUCUUCCGUUAAAUCCACCUGCUCAACAGUUGGGCUGCGGAGGAUACUACAGCGCUAGGAGGCGGGAGAGGC